rnacentral:misc_RNA from 1 species
GACUCCCCGUCCUCGUGCGGCCGACURCUGACGCCGUUUCCUGUCAUUUGUGUGACUUAUGUUACUWCUAGUUUUCAAGUGUUUGCGUGCUGGUACCCGACCUACGGGAAGUGGUUCUCCAUACACGUUUGCUUCGCGGCGGACUCCCCCGGGUGUCCCGCUGUGGCCUAAUGGUGCUUGUGGCGUUGCCCCGUGGUGCUGACACGUACCAUCAAGGCAGCCUCGCUUGCGCUGUUGGUUUUGGAUGUUGCUCACGAUAAAGGUUCAUGGCCCUUCUGGUUGCCUUGACCCAAACCUAAUGAAGCUCUUUGGAUCGGAACGUGUCGUAGAACRGUGUGUUGCCUGUACCUGUCCACAGUUAGUGGUAGGAWACGCAWCAUGCUGGGCCGAUGCUAGUAGGUGAAGGGGAAGCUUGGCUCGCUCAAUUGCGACAACCGGCCCGACUGUUGUCUGCCCGUAAGGGUGGAUGACAGCCGACGCUGGACGUCAAAGAGGACGUGCUACCUGGUUGAUCCUGCCAGUAGUC